UCUUCUUCAUACUCAUCAAUCUCUACACGCAAAAAAAAAAAUAGUGAUCGAGCUCUCAAGGACUCUGACAAUGACAGAUCUCAAUUCAUAUUACGAAUUGAGUAACGAUGUUGUUGUUGAUAUGGAACAAUCAAGCCCUGUGUUGACGAAGGUGGAGCAAUCUAGCGAUCCCGAUCUAGUCAACUGUGGCGUAAACGCCUGAUGUGCCACGUGGCAGUUACGUAGAUUCGCCGGAGAUUGCUAAGAAGCUCAGAUUCUCAACUGAGUUUGAGGCGCUGUCGUCUCCUGAGUCAUCCUUCGAGCUGCCUUCUCCACCUGGAGAUACGAAGACGCCUGUGAUAAGUAUUAACUCGGGCUCUACGAGCGAGGGUGUGACUGUGGCUGAUGUGGCUUUCUUGAAGGAUGAGUUUUUCAGUGGAGGUGGCACUGUGAGGACUGAUGCUGUUGUUGGCAGCGAAGAGGAGGUUUUGUUGUAUCAGACGGCUAGGGUUGGUGAUUUUGAUUAUAAGUAACGGUGGCCUCAAGUAUAGUGACCUCAUUGAAAAGGAAAACAACCCAGACAUGGUUGAGCGGUUGCAGAACGUAUUCUACCAGCUCCAAAACGUAUUCUACCAGCUCCAGCUCCUAGAAGGAGUACUCUUGCCCCAACGCCGUAUCUCCCAAUCACAUCAACUUUGCCAUUAAGGCCAUGACGCCAAGCUACCAUCAUGAACUCGCCUGAUGACUUGAACUUGUUUCAUCCAAUUAGAUGAUCGGAUGAGGAUGAUUGAUUUAUUAUCAUCUUCCUGUGUGGUUUAAACAUAUGAAAUGGUUUGGUUUUCAUUCAAGAACAGAGAGUUUUAUAACAAUGAAAACAUAUCAUAAGACUGGGACUUUUGUUUA